UACGUAGGGUGCAAGCAUUAAUCGGAUUUAUUGGGCGUAAAGGGCGCGUAGGCGGGAUUAUAAGUCAGAUGUUAAAGCCCGGGGCUCAACCCCGGAAAAGCAUUUGAGACUGUAAUUCUUGAGGGUAGGCGGAGAAAAUGGAAUUCCACAAGUAGCGGUGAAAUGCGUAGAUAUGUGGAAGAACACCAGUGGCGAAGGCGGUUUUCUAGCUUAUACCUGACGCUGAUGCGCGAAAGCAAGGGGAGCAAACAGG
rnacentral:rRNA from 1 species